UUUUUUUUUGCAAAUUGUAUCUAUCUAUAAUAUAUUUUUAUUUUAUAGUUUAUAAUUGUUAUUAAGUAACGUCCUGUCAAACCCGUCCCGUAAAAAAACCAUUUAUUUAUAUUAAUGUUAAUCUUAUUUAUGAUAUGUUUAUAAAUCAUUGUCUAAAUAUUUUUGUCGAUGCGGGACGUUGAACCCAUACAUUUUUUACCAAUUGGUUAAUAUAUGUUCAUUUUUAAAAUUUUGAAUCAUAAAAUAUGACGAAAAAAAUUAAGAUUUUUUUAAACUCUAUAUAUUAUAUAAUGAUGUUAAAGAAUUGUGAUAUAUCAAACUUUUUAUAAGUUUAAAUAUUAAUAAUAUUUUAUAAAUUU
rnacentral:sRNA from 1 species